AUUGAACGCUGGCGGCAGGCCCAACACAUUCAAGUCGAGCGAGUGGCGGACGGGUGAGUAAUGUAUGGGGAUUGCCCGAUAGAGGGGGAUAACUACUGGAAACGGUAGCUAAUACCGCAUACUAUUGGAUAACCCAUACGGGAUUAGCUAGUAGGUGAGGUAAUGGCUCACCUAGGCGACGAUCCCUAGCUGGUCUGAGAGGAUGAUCAGCCACACUGAGACUGAGACACGGCCCAGACUCCCAGGGAGACAGCAGUAGAGAAUAUUGCACAAUGGGCGCAAGCCUGAUGCGGCGAUACGGCGUGUAUGAAGAGGGACCUAGGGUUGUAAAGUAAUUUCAGUCGUGAAGCGUAACCGACAGAAGAAGCACCGGCUAACUCCGUGCCAGCAGCCGCGGUAAUAC
rnacentral:rRNA from 1 species